rnacentral:rRNA from 1 species
AUUGAACGCUGGCGGCAUGGCUAAUGCAUGCAAGUCGAACGAAAGCCCUUCGGGGCGAAAGUGGCGAAAGGGCGAGUAAUACGAUCGAACGUACCCCAAGGUGGAGGAUAGUGUCGGGAAACUGACGGUAAUACUCCAUGUGCUCUUCGGAGGAAAGCUUUGGCGCCUCGGGAGCGGCGAUUGUCCUAUCAGGUAGUUGGUGAGGUAAUGGCUCACCAAGCCGAAGACGGGUAGCGGGUGUGAGAGCAUGACCCGCCGCAUCGGGACUGAGACACUGCCCGGACUCCUACGGGAGGCUGCAGCGACGAAUCUUCCGCAAUGGGCGCAAGCCUGACGGAGCAAUGCCGCGUGUGGGACGAAGCGUCUUCGACGUGUAAACCACUGUCAGAAUCUAGGAACACUGACCAGAUUCAAAGGAAGGGCCGGCUAACCUCGUG